AGUGGGGAAUAUUGCGCAAUGGAGGAAACUCUGACGCAGCAACGCCGCGUGGGUGAUGAAGGACUUCGGUUCGUAAAGCCCUGUUGGGAGGGACGAAAUAAAUGACGGUACCUCUAAAGAAAGCACCGGCUAACUCCGUGCCAGCAGCCGCGGUAAUACGGAGGGUGCAAACGUUGUUCGGAAUCAUUGGGCGUAAAGGGCGCGUAGGCGGCUUGACAGGUCGGAUGUGAAAUCCCCAGGGCUCAACCUUGGAAUUGCGUUCGAAACCGGCGAGCUUGAGUUCCGGAGGGAGAAGUGGAAUUCCUGGUGUAGGGGUGAAAUCCGUAGAUAUCAGGAGGAACACCGGUGGCGAAGGCGACUUCUUGGCCGAGGACUGACGCUGAGGCGCGAAAGCGUGGGGAGCAAACAGGAUUAGAUACCCUGGUAGUCCACGCCGUAAACGAUGUUCACUAGGUGAUGGUGGUAUUGACCCCGUCAUUGCCGCAGCUAACGCAUUAAGUGAACCGCCUGGGGAGUACGGUCGCAAGAUUAAAACUCAAAGGAAUUGACGGG
rnacentral:rRNA from 1 species